AGUCAAACACCACCAUGCCCUCUGUACCAAGUCCCUUGGUGAUGCCUGCCUUCCCUUUGGUGUCUUCUAUACUGUGGUAUUCACAGGGGUCUCUACUAACACUAACCCCAUGUCCCUAAUGGCUCAUAAGAACCAGUCCAUCCCAGACUAAUCUCAGGUAACUCAGCCUCUGCCUAGAGGAGGAUGGGUAUUAUAUUAUUCAGUUUCUCUGCCUCCACAGGGCUUAGACUGAUAUCAUUCACCCCAAACAGCUUGGAUACAGCAUCAUCUCUGAUUGUCAUAGCUUCCCAUCCUCGGCCACUAUGAAGGUCCUCAUUUGAGUACUGAACAGAGAGCAUUCUUCUCCACUGCGCUGAAGUUUGGGCCUACAAGGUAGCUUCCAUUACUUCUAUUUCUCUUCCCCACCUACACUCCAACUGACUGUCUGAGGCUUCCCAUGAAUUUCAAGCCUGGGGAUUCCAGGAAGGGCUGUUUAGCAUAAACCUAAAUCGGACUAUCUUUUUCUUGCACCCUGCCAUCUGUAAGACACAGCAAGGCGACACCUCCACCUCAUCACCCCUUUCCUCCUCUUUCUCUGCCAAGUAAGAGGCUAAUGAGGAUGAUAGCAUCCUUAUCUCGUUUGCUCUCAGUUCCUCUCAUUCAGGCAGAUUCUUCUGGACAGAUAGCUCAUCUUCCCUUGCAUGUCUGACCACCCACAGCAAAGCCACAGGACUGUUGCCACAAUGUAUUUAGAAUCCCAUGGCAAAAGUCCCACUUAGGGAGAUAGCUAUAUAGUAUCUAGUCCAUCAGCUGUUUGAAGGGGCCGGGUAUUCCCACUCUCAGGCAGAAAACCCACCAAAAGACACACCACCUAUUGCAUUAACUUUUCCUGGAAAUACUUGAGCAAACAUUUAUUGUUUCCAGAUUUUGCAUCAACAGCAGACAAAAGGAAUGAGUUCCACCCUAGUCUACCAUUGGGUGAGGGCUAAGCCACGGCAGUAGAGGCAAUUUAUGAGCAGGAUAUCUGGGUCCAAGCCUGUGAGGAAGCAAUCACAGCUCUUCUCAUUCUAAGACAGCAGUGGUGGUGCUAUGCCCAGAGGACAGCAUUACAUAAUACAACCCUAUAUCACACAGAGGAAGAUGUCCAUCCUAGAUCUGCCCCGCCCCCAAGCCCCCGAGGCUGGGAUGUUCCACACUAGGAUUGCUCAGCUUUGGUUGCAAGGCUUAUCAUCCACAGCAGGGGACACACAACCGCCACUACUUCGAAGACGCUGAGUCUGGGGAAGACAGGUUAAGUGUGAUUCCCACACAAGCCUGUCCCAUUGUCCUCCCAUCCCUGAUAUCCCUGCCUGAUAUCAGCCAUGGGAUAAAGACAACACAGAUGAACCAAGGACACUAUGUUAAGUGAAACAAGCUUGCUAUAAGAUGCA